rnacentral:rRNA from 1 species
AGAGUUUGAUCCUGGCUCAGGACGAACGCUGGCGGCGUGCCUAAUACAUGCAAGUCGAACGAACUCUGGUAUUGAUUGGUGCUUGCAUCAUGAUUUACAUUUGAGUGAGUGGCGAACUGGUGAGUAACACGUGGGAAACCUGCCCAGAAGCGGGGGAUAACACCUGGAAACAGAUGCUAAUACCGCAUAACAACUUGGACCGCAUGGUCCGAGUUUGAAAGAUGGCUUCGGCUAUCACUUUUGGAUGGUCCCGCGGCGUAUUAGCUAGAUGGUGGGGUAACGGCUCACCAUGGCAAUGAUACGUAGCCGACCUGAGAGGGUAAUCGGCCACAUUGGGACUGAGACACGGCCCAAACUCCUACGGGAGGCAGCAGUAGGGAAUCUUCCACAAUGGACGAAAGUCUGAUGGAGCAACGCCGCGUGAGUGAAGAAGGGUUUCGGCUCGUAAAACUCUGUUGUUAAAGAAGAACAUAUCUGAGAGUAACUGUUCAGGUAUUGACGGUAUUUAACCAGAAAGCCACGGCUAACUACGUGCCAGCAGCCGCGGUAAUACGUAGGUGGCAAGCGUUGUCCGGAUUUAUUGGGCGUAAAGCGAGCGCAGGCGGUUUUUUAAGUCUGAUGUGAAAGCCUUCGGCUCAACCGAAGAAGUGCAUCGGAAACUGGGAAACUUGAGUGCAGAAGAGGACAGUGGAACUCCAUGUGUAGCGGUGAAAUGCGUAGAUAUAUGGAAGAACACCAGUGGCGAAGGCGGCUGUCUGGUCUGUAACUGACGCUGAGGCUCGAAAGUAUGGGUAGCAAACAGGAUUAGAUACCCUGGUAGUCCAUACCGUAAACGAUGAAUGCUAAGUGUUGGAGGGUUUUCGCCCUUCAGUGCUGCAGCUAACGCAUUAAGCAUUCCGCCUGGGGAGUACGGCCGCAAGGCUGAAACUCAAAGGAAUUGACGGGGGCCCGCACAAGCGGUGGAGCAUGUGGUUUAAUUCGAAGCUACGCGAAGAACCUUACCAGGUCUUGACAUACUAUGCAAAUCUAAGAGAUUAGACGUUCCCUUCGGGGACAUGGAUACAGGUGGUGCAUGGUUGUCGUCAGCUCGUGUCGUGAGAUGUUGGGUUAAGUCCCGCAACGAGCGCAACCCUUAUUAUCAGUUGCCAGCAUUAAGUUGGGCACUCUGGUGAGACUGCCGGUGACAAACCGGAGGAAGGUGGGGAUGACGUCAAAUCAUCAUGCCCCUUAUGACCUGGGCUACACACGUGCUACAAUGGAUGGUACAACGAGUUGCGAACUCGCGAGAGUAAGCUAAUCUCUUAAAGCCAUUCUCAGUUCGGAUUGUAGGCUGCAACUCGCCUACAUGAAGUCGGAAUCGCUAGUAAUCGCGGAUCAGCAUGCCGCGGUGAAUACGUUCCCGGGCCUUGUACACACCGCCCGUCACACCAUGAGAGUUUGUAACACCCAAAGUCGGUGGGGUAACCUUUUAGGAACCAGCCGCCUAAGGUGGGACAGAUGAUUAGGGUGAAGUCGUAACAAGGUAGCCGUAGGAGAACCUGCGGCUG